rnacentral:rRNA from 1 species
UACGAAGGGUGCAAACGUUGCUCGGAAUUAUUGGGCGUAAAGAGCUCGUAGGCGGUUUGUCGCGUCUGCCGUGAAAGUCCGGGGCUUAACCCCGGGUCUGCAUUCGAUACGGGCAGGCUAGAGUUCGGUAGGGGAGAUCGGAAUUCCUGGUGUAGCGGUGAAAUGCGCAGAUAUCAGGAGGAACACCGGUGGCGAAGGCGGAUCUCUGGGCCGAUACUGACGCUGAGGAGCGAAAGCGUGGGGAGCGAACAGG